rnacentral:ncRNA from 1 species
UAGUAAGUGUUUAAGAGCGUACGGUGGAUGCCUUGGCACCAGGAGCCGAUGAAGGACGUGGGAGGCUGCGAUAAGCCUCGGGGAGCUGUCAACCGAGCUGUGAUCCGAGGGUGUCCGAAUGGGGAAACCCAGCACGAGUGAUGUCGUGUUACCCGUGCCUGAAUGUAUAGGGCAUGUGGAGGGAACGUGGGGAAGUGAAACAUCUCAGUACCCACAGGAAGAGAAAACAACAUGUGAUUCCGUGAGUAGUGGCGAGCGAAAGCGG